rnacentral:tRNA from 1 species
CAGAGAAUAGUUUAAGUUAAAAUAUUGAUUUUGGAGAUCAAUGAUAUAUUAUAUUUUUCUCUGA